CAGCAAGUGCAGCUUCAUGCCGUUCAAAACGGGGAAUCUGCGUCAAACAUUUUUGCCCCAGUGGUUCAUAUCGUGUUGUGGGAAGAUGUUCACGAGGCUUUGCAUGCUGUAAAAGCCUGAGGGGUUGAAACCCUGAAAUUCCCAAGCAGAACAUGACCCAUUUGCUUCUGGCUGCUGGAAAUCACCUCCUGAAGUCCCCAUCUGCUGAUGUCCCCAUCUGCUGAUGUCCCCAUGUGCUGAUGUCCCCUGCCCUCGCUGGCUGUGCCGUGCCCAGCUGGGCUGCCAGCAGCAGUGGCAGCUGCUCCUGCUGGCUGCUGCUGGGCUGGAGCCCUGUGGUGGCAGGGCCGGUGUCUUUGGGGCAGGGGCUGCUUUUCCCAACUUGAAUAAAGAGCAGCACUUUGGCAUUGCA